rnacentral:rRNA from 1 species
AUUGAACGCUGGCGGCAUGCCUUACACAUGCAAGUCGAACGGUAACAGGCCGCAAGGUGCUGACGAGUGGCGAACGGGUGAGUAAUGCAUCGGAACGUGCCCAGUCGUGGGGGAUAACGCAGCGAAAGCUGCGCUAAUACCGCAUACGAUCUAUGGAUGAAAGCGGGGGACCGGAAGGCCUCGCGCGAUUGGAGCGGCCGAUGUCGGAUUAGGUAGUUGGUGGGGUAAAGGCUCACCAAGCCAGCGAUCUGUAGCUGGUCUGAGAGGACGACCAGCCACACUGGGACUGAGACACGGCCCAGACUCCUACGGGAGGCAGCAGUGGGGAAUUUUGGACAAUGGGCGCAAGCCUGAUCCAGCAAUGCCGCGUGCAGGAAGAAGGCCUUCGGGUUGUAAACUGCUUUUGUACGGAACGAAACGGUCCUGGUUAAUACCUGGGGCUAAUGACGGUACCGUAAGAAUAAGCACCGGCUAACUACGUGCCAGCCGCCGCGGUAAUAC